CAGCAACCUAUCAACGGGUUGUCCAAUUCAUCUCAAAAUGUCAGGGCAGAUAGAUCUUGACCUGAUAAACAAUUUUACCUGAAGACAGAUUUGCUCUAAAUGCUUUGGUUUUUGAGUGAUAAGCCAAAAACUGCAUUUUACCCCUAUGUUCUAUUUUUAGCCAUGGCGGCCAUCUUGGUUGGCUGGCCAGUUCACCGGACACAUUUUUUUAACUAAAUACCCAAUGAUGAUUGUGGUCAAGUUUGGUUUAAUUUGGCCCAGUAGUUUCAGAGGAGAAGAUUUUUGUAAAAGAUGACCAAGAUUUAUGAAAAAUGGUAAAAAAUUGACUAUAAAGGGCAAUAACUCCUAAAGGGGUCAACAGACCAUUUUGGUCCUGUUGACUUAUUUGUAGAUCUUACUUUACUGAACAUUUUUGCUGUUUACAGUUUACCUCUAUCUAUGAUAAUAUUCAAGAUAAUAACCAAAAACAGCAAAAUUUCCUUAAAAUUAGCAUUUCAGGGGCAGUAACCCAACAACGGA
rnacentral:lncRNA from 1 species